GUAGGCGACUGUGGGCCGGGGAGAGGAAACGCCACUAUGUGUGUGUGUGCGUGUGUGUUUCCUGAAAAGGCUGGGAAACACUAGCGUCGGCUGGGGGAAAAAACCUUUGAGGCUGUUCAUCAAGCUGUUCAUGGAAUCCGUGUGUUUCACCAGCGGAGACUUCCAGCAGAGAGAAAGGAAAGGAAGGAUUGAUGAGGUCCGAAAGACGAUAGUAGUUUUGCUGGCGUCCACACUACUCCGAAAUUUUCGACCCUCGAAAACUGAGUGUCUCCAAAAUGGAGACUUUUGAAAAUGAAGGCGUGGCUGCCCACAUUUGCUCCCUGAUUGGGUCUUCUGGAUCAAUGCGUCUCAGGAACUGAACUAGCAUGAAGACAAAUCUGGUGAACCUCUCUCAGAACCGGCUUCAUUUCAACUGACUUGAAAGUCGAACAGUGAUGAAGGUCUGUGCCAAAUGCUGGUCCAGUGAUAGGAUUUAGCAGAUAUCGGUUACAAGGCGGUCUUGGCAUUGUCAUUCUCUUCUGGACAGCAGAGAAUGUGCUGCCAUCAACUCAACCCUUGACACCAUCAUGAUCCUGCCCAUUAUUGACAAAACAGACAAAAAGUUGACCUCUAUGGAACUCAACGAGGUCAUUCACUGCCUGGAUUCGGCCACAGUCCCAGGUUGAUUCCCUGAAAAGUGGCACCAUGGGUGUGUGUUUGGGGCAGGGCUAUCAGUUUGUUCGACCAAUGACAGAGGGAAUACAGCUAAUUGGAUUUCUGAAAGCACAACUGGACUCAACCUGUCUGAAAUUCUCGAGUGGUGUAGUUACGGCAUCUACUAGCAGAGGCUAAGUGCUAACCAGCUAAUCCCUGACCCCUUGGAUCAACACAGUGAUGUCAUGAACUGAUUCCAGAUCAGACGCAACUAGCUGUGGGAAGGACUGACUGCAGGUCAGUGUGGAAAUAUUCAAGGGUUCGGGGGAAUAAAUUUGAACCAGUACAAGUCCCACAGUCGUCCUGGGUGAGUUUAUUCCCUUAAGCGCAGUGUGGAAAAUUUGCAUGUCAAGCUGUGUUUUUCAGUGCCUGGAUCCACACACACACGGUCCAAUCCUGUGCGGUGGGGAUCGCCGUCUGGAGAUUGUGCAGCAUUCAAAACUGAGUCACCGCUUGCUGACCUUGCUCACACACACACUCCUCCCGUUAUGGGCCCAUACGUCCGUUCUCAGGCGGAGUGUGUGCCGCGUACAGCUUUGAUCCCCAGCUGAAGGGUACUUACAGGCCAAAUUUCCAAAUGCGUAAGAGUCAGCCCCCCCGCUGGAGAGAGAGACAGGAUGAAUUCUUACACGGCUCUGGGAAUUGGGUCUCGGCGGCUGGAACUAUUAAUAUAUCGCUGUUGACAAGAGAGAGAGAGAGAGAGAGAGAGCGAGAGAGCGAGACCGCUAGAUAGACAUGCACAGAGAAGGACAAAGUUAGAGAACGAUAGAUAGAAAGGAGAGACAGACAGGUAUUAGACAAAAAAGACUGGUAGAAAGAUACAAAGAGGUAGAUAGAUAGAAUGCACACAGGAACAUAGCCCGGGGGGGAGAAAUUAGUUCUCAGGGAACUAUCCUAGUGGCCAGUUCUUAUAACGGAGUUCCUAGAACUAUUUGGUGCGAAAGCCCCUUAUAUAGACAGCAAGAAAGGCAGACCGAGAGACAAACAGGCUGAAAGAGAGGCAGGUGAGGGUCUGAGAAGCAAUGCAGGGAAAAACUGUGUGUGUAUUAUUCCAGCAGGCCUGUGUAUCAGUCAUCAAUGCACAGUUAAGAGUAUCGAUCAGGCAGUUAUUGACGAACGCGUGUAUUACAGAAAGUGUGACCAGCGCUCUGACCCGACACACAGCCCUCUCUCUCUCUCUCUCUCUCUCUCGCUCCCUGUGACUCCAGGUCGGUGUUGAUCUGACCUCACUAGUAACGAUUUCACACACAACCGCAGAACACGUCUGGUCAUGGAUGAGCUAUUCAACCCGCAGGAAGCGCAUCAUCAAUACAAUUAUCAUAUCGCAGUUUAUGACAUUACAGUUGAGUCAUUGAAUCGAACGCAAUUGAAUUAAAUCACGUCGGCUCGUUACAGGUGACGACAGACAGGCCGAGUCAGUCAUCACGCCUAGAGCGAGCGGGCGAGAGAGAGAGAGAGAGAGAGAGGGAUUUGGCUCUUUAUCUCUGCGCUGCUCUACGCUGCUCAACGGCCAGUAAGCAGGAUUAAUGGUCCUGUCUCAGCGUGAGCCAGGUACGCACACACACAUACACACACCGCAAGCUGCCACACAAUCUCACACACGCACACACACGGAGCAGGGCCGGUAAUCGCAUGCAAACAGCACACGCUUUUCAGGCAGAGCUACUUGCGCACACACAUACUCGCAUUUCAAAAGCACAGGAAGCACCUGUUUCUCUCCCACAGAGCCUCGCACACACACGCGCCGUUGCGUUCAUUCCCUCACGCUCUGUCUCUUUUCUCGUCUCAGCUCUCGUCCCGCUUCUGCAGUCAGGGUUUCCCUGGCGCUCUUCAGACAGCAGUGGAGCAUGACGGCAAGAUGUUCCCCGGAGAAAUCCCGCAGCCGUAGACUUCUACCACUCGCUCCGCUUCGUCCCUGCGAUCGUUUCUGUAAAUAUAGAAAACAGAUCGUAGCGCACAAGCGAGGGCCGACAUGGCUUCAUGACUGAUGUUUCCUGGGGAAGGAGCAACAUGUGCUGAAUACUACCAGCUGCACUGCGUGGCCCUCUCAGUGGAGCUGCGUGAGGGGGCCCUGUCAGGCAGCGCUCUGGCUGGAGGCCCAGACCACACACACACACACACUACUCUGUGACAGCAGGCAGAGUGCUUGGCACUGCCCGCCGUCAGACAAGGGGCAGGCCGGAAUGUCAGCGGGCGGCAAUGGCUGCCACGGCAACAGAUCCAUCAGUGUCUGCAGAGGGAGAUUCCAUUACCGUGACGACGGGUUACAUCAUCCAUCUCCGCAGAGCUCUCGCAGUUCCUGUUCACGAGAUGGGAAAAAUACAUGAAUGCUCCAUAAUAUUUCAUAGUGUUAAUGCUUUUAACACCAUAUGAUAAAAUUUUAUAAAAUAUAUGACAGAUGAAUGGAUUGAACAAUGUCCAGAUGAAAGAAAGGGGAAAAACUACUCUAAACACCUUCAACUGCAUAGCAACAUGCUAAAGGCAAAACAUGGCAACGUGCCUAAAACUACUCAGAGCACCUUAGCAACUGCAUAGCAACGUGUUUAAAAUCUCAGGCGACUUGCUAAAAACCACCCACAAGUUUUUCAAUACAGGUUGUGCUCACAUUUUCUUCAGAAAGGUAAGAAGCAGUAGCAAGAAAAUGUGUCAGCAUCAUUGACAGCGCGCGCACUUCUCUGGUCAGGAUGUGAGGUUUGUGUGUUCGUAUCUCGCUGUAAUCACUGAUCUCAUCCACACGAGCAGAAAAAAAAUCACUAGAGAUAUACAACUGCUGACAGAUCUGAUUAAAGUUUAUUAUUAGCGAUGCAGUGAAAUAGUGACUGACACUGAAACAGACAUCAUUAACAUCCGUUGUAAUAAACCACAACAACAUCGACCACAGCGUCCACCAAUCGGAAUAAUUGUAGCGGAAGACGCGCGCCUGAAUCGAGCUCUCUGAUUGGCUACGUUCCCAUAUUCACUAGAAGCUCUUUCUCUUUUAUGAACCUCGUAAACUUUGCGCCCACAAAUUCUGCCGUAUGUUAAAAAUGAUAAUGAAAAAGUUAUUCAAUUUAUUUUUAAUAAAUUAAAAUAUAUUUUAAAAUAACGUAUUCUAAAAAUAAUUUUAGAUGUGUUAAAAUAACGUUUAAUAUAUUUUUAUUGUAAAAUAUAUUCUAGAAUAUAUUAAAAUAUAUCAAGUUUUAUAUAUUUCAUAUAUAUAUAUAAUAUACAGUUACAACUCAAUUUUUGCCUUGUCAGACCACAGAAUCAAUGACCAAAAGGCUUCCUCUUUGUUCUGUGAUCUGACAAGACAAAAAUUGAGUUGUUUAGACAUAGGGAUGUGGCUUUUGUUUGGAGAAAGAAAAAAAAGGAGAAGCAUUCAACUCCAAGAACACCAUCCCCAUGAUCAAGUGUGUUGGUGGGAACAAAAUGCUUUGGUGGUGUUUUUCAGCCAAUGGGCCAGGCAACCUUGUAAACGUAAAUGGCAUCAUGAAAAAAGAAGACUACAUAAGAUUCUGGAGUAAAACUUGACCUAGGGGUGCAGUGGACUUUCCAAAAAGAUAACGAUCCAAACCACACAACAAAAGUGGUAAAGAAAUCGUUGGCAGAGACCAAUAUCAACGAUGGAGUGGCCAAGCCAGAGUCCAGACCGGAAUCCAACUGAGAAUUUGUGGAGAGAAUUGAAGACCAGAGUGAUGGCAAGGAAGCCUUCCAACCUCAAGGACCUGGAGAUCAGCAAAAGAGGAGUGGUCCAAAAUGGAAAUGUGCAAAAAACUAAAAACAAAUUCUAAAAACCGUUUGAGAGCUGUGAUGAAAAAUAAAGGCUUUGUCAUUGAUUAUUGAGAAA